rnacentral:rRNA from 1 species
CCUACGGGUGGCUGCAGUGGGGAAUAUUGGACAAUGGGGGCAACCCUGAUCCAGCAAUGCCGCGUGUGUGAAGAAGGCCUUCGGGUUGUAAAGCACUUUUAUCAGGAACGAAAAGCGAUCGGUUAAUACCCGAUCGUGCUGACGGUACCUGAGGAAUAAGCACCGGCUAACUUCGUGCCAGCAGCCGCGGUAAUACGAAGGGUGCAAGCGUUAAUCGGAAUUACUGGGCGUAAAGCGUACGUAGGCGGUUGAUUAAGUCUGCUGUGAAAGCCCUG